AUAUAACAGAGAUGAUGUUCAAAAAAGGAGAUUUCCUGUUCACUCAACAAAAAUUCAUGUCCAGAAUUAUUAAGUGGAAUUUCUAUCGAUCCAUCAGAAAAUUUUUCUCUCUGUAUAGACUAGGAAAAAAAUUCUGAUGUUGCAUCUUGGCAUCAUACACAAGGCCCUGAAAGCAACUUUGCUAAAACUAGGAUUUGCAAUGAGGAUAAGAAGAAAUUUAAAUGUUGUCAAUUACUGAUUUUCAAGGUACUGCUUGAUUGUCUGUUUAAUUGUGCUUGAUUGUGCUGAUUUUCAGCUGUGUUGUACUUGCUAGUAUCUUGUGAUUUUCAAGGUUAGCAACUCUUUUGAAAUUCCUUGCAAUUUCCUCAAAGAAAUCCUGAAUAAAUUAUAAUCAUAAAUAUAAUUCUCAAAGAAGCUCAAUAAAUCCUAAUCAUCAUAACUUUAAAUUAUGAUAAAAAUUUUCAGUUUUGUCUGCUUUUAUCUUCCCAACUUUUUGUCAUGAUCAAAUAUUUCGUGUAAUCUAACGAAGCUUUAAUUGAUUGCAGAGGUGACGUAAUUGUGACAGACUUGCCUGAAAUUUUGCCACUGCUUGAAAAAAACAUCUUAGCUAAUUCUCAACAAAUUGAAGGAACCGGUGGAAAAAUAAGUGCUCAAACUCUGCGCUGGGGUGAUGCUGAGAGUAUUAAGUUACUUCCGAAACCUGACAUCAUCCUAAUGGCAGACGUCAUUUACUAUAAAGAGUCAGUGGAGGCUCUGGUAUCAACCUUGUUACUGCUCUCGGAUAAAAUACGACACUGAUACUGUGUCAUGAAAAAAGACAAUCCGAGAAGCAGAAAGAAAUUUUUGAUGCAUUUUAUAAACGCGCAAAGGAACAUUUCAAAUUCUCAGCAGUGCCUCCCAGCGAACAGCAUCCUGACUACUGUUGUCAAGAUUUUUAUUUAUUGAAAGUUAAUUUAUUACCAAUCUAGAAGAUUACCUUUUGUAAGUUCUAUUUUAGGACCUCGUCAGUAGCGCCAAUGCGACUGACAGUCCUUUAUCAAACUAUUUUUUUUUUUUAUGAUAGUAUACUUGGUCCCCGCUCUUGAUCCUUGUUAGGUCAUCAGGUCAAAAUUUCUUCCUCUCUUAUCAUUAUUUGGUACUUUUUUCAUCAAGAAUUAAGAGAAUAAAUUCGGUAGCUUUUAGCAUAAAGAAAUCAAGUUAUGGACUCUUAAAAAUUGAAAUGAGGAUUAUUCUAAACUUAUUUAAGGGAAAUUUUUUCUCUUGCUCAAAAUCAGAACCCAGAAAGAAUAUUUGAGAUGAUUUAAAGUUUAUUUCAUACAUUGGGCAUUCAAAUCUAUUCUGUCUAUCUAUCACCGUCAAAUAGUCGAGUUCACUUGGUUUUCCUUUGCUAAACAGUGCCCAAUAAUUUUAGGUGCCUUUUCUUGGUGUAAUCCGCAUCCAACUUGCAGUGCUUUUGUGUGGAUAGCCAUCUUUUGAAAAGGAAGAAAAGGGUCUUAAUACCUCAAAUUUCUCUAGAGAAAAGAGGUGCUCUUUUUUUCUUCAGUUGCAAGUCCCCUUUCUUGCUGACAGUAUUAAGUUUUUACUUUACUUUAUUUGCAUGAUAGAAAAAUAAAUUUUUUUUUUUUUUUUGUUUCAAACAUUAACUUCCCACUUGGCAUGAAGAGUAAAACUUUUUGUUUGCUCAUACUAAUAUGUAAUAAAUAUUUAAUAUGAAUCCCUGUUUUCUUUUUUUAAUGAAUUUGUCAUUGUAUUCACUGUUUACUAUUUCAGAAUCAAUUUAGACUAAUUUUUUAAUCAUAUUGUUUUUUACUAAAUCUACAUUUUUGUGUGUGUGUUUGGUACCUGAUUUUUAAUUUAUUUUUUUACAACAGUUUUUAUCAUCUUUUUUUUAUUGUGAUUUUAUUACAGUCUAAAUGCAAUUAAAGAAAGGUUUUUAGUUAUUUCUACCUGCGGUCUUUUUAACUCCUUUAAAGCUUUUAUCAAUACGCUUCAUGCAUUUUGUAAAACUUAUUUUCCCCAUGCUCACCAAAGUAAUUUUUUGUGAAUAAUGGUCUAUUUCUCUGCUGAACUUAAUAAUAAGCCUUUACCAACCAAAAUAUAUAACGAAUAUAUAACCAAACCAAAAAUUGUUCUUCUAACUUAAGUCAUUAAAGGAAGUUACAGAUAUUUUUACCUAAAAUGUAUCACAAUUGCUACUGCAUCUGCAAUCAGAAUGCCUUCAUUUAUUUGCUUAUGCAACUUCGACAUCCAUCGAGUAGUAAUAGUUGCAUCUCUCCAGGCGCUGUUACGUCGGUCUGCUGUUGUUGAUCAAGUUCUAUUCCCACUCUCUGUAAAAUAAAGGUGGGCAUCAUAUUUUUCUUUCUUUCUUUCUUUCUUUCUUUCCUUCUUUCUUUAAACUUAUAUUACUACUACUACUACUUUCUUUCUUUUUUCUUUCUUUACUACUACUUUCUUUCUUUCUUUCUUAGAGGUGUAAAUGGCCUGAGCUGCUAUAGCACCGCUUGAAAAUAAACUUAUAUUACUACUACUACUACUUUCUUUCUUAUUGUAAACACACAGAGGUGUAAAUGGCCUUAGAUGCUAAAGUACUGCUUUAUAAUAAACUUAUUUUACU
rnacentral:lncRNA from 1 species